GCCUGGGUGGCUCAGUCGGUUAAGCGUCUGACUUCGGCUCAGGUCAUGAUCUUGCAGUUUGUGAGUUCGAGCCCCGCGUCGGGCU
rnacentral:tRNA from 1 species